rnacentral:rRNA from 1 species
GUGGGGAAUAUUGGGCAAUGGGGGAAACCCUGACCCAGCGACGCCGCGUGAGGGAAGACGGCCUUCGGGUUGUAAACCUCUUUUGUACGGGAAGAAGGAAGUGACGGUACUGUACGAAUAAGUCCCGGCUAACUACGUGCCAGCAGCCGCGGUAAUACGUAGGGGACGAGCGUUGUCCGGAAUUACUGGGCGUAAAGGGCGCGCAGGCUGUGCUGCAAGUCAGCUGUGAAAUGUCUGGGCUUAACCCGGGCAUGCGGUUGAGACUGCAGUGCUGGAGUGCUGUAGAGGCAAGUGGAAUUCCCAGUGUAGCGGUGAAAUGCGUAGAUAUUGGGAAGAACACCGGUGGCGAAGGCGACUUGCUGGACAGCAACUGACGCUGAGGCGCGAAAGCCAGGGGAGCAAACGGGAUUAGAAACCCGUGUAGUCC